rnacentral:rRNA from 1 species
GAUGAACGCUAGCUACAGGCUUAACACAUGCAAGUCGUGGGGCAUCAUGAUGUAGUAAUACAUUGAUGGCGACCGGCGCACGGGUGAGUAACGCGUAUCCAACCUACCCUCCACUCAAGUAUAGGCUUCCGAAAGGGAGAUUAAUCCUUGAUAUCGUCAUUCUCUCUCCUGUUAGAAUGAUAAAAGGACAUCGUUUCGGUAGAGGAUGGGGAUGCGUUCCAUUAGGUAGUAGGUGGUUUAACAGGCCACCUAGCCGAUGAUGGAUAGGGGUUCUGAGAGGAAUAUCCCCCACACUGGUACUGAGAUACGGACCAGACUCCUACGGGAGGCAGCAGUGAGGAAUAUUGGUCAAUGGGCGCAAGCCUGAACCAGCCAUGUAGCGUGAAGGAUGACGGUUUUUUUGAUUGUAAACUUCUUUUCUGUGCGAUUAAAGUGUGGCAUUUAUGCCA